rnacentral:lncRNA from 1 species
CACAGAGGCACACAAAGGUCUACCACAUAUGCUAAGGAGGACAUCACCUCAAGGCCAGGAACAAGGCCCACUGGCCACCGCCAGAGACAGGGAGGCACAGGACUGGUCAUGCGGAUGCCAUGGUUUCUGGCAUCCGUGGUAAUCUACCAUAGUACCUGUAGUGGCUAUUCCUGGUUGUCAACUUGACUAUAUUUGGAAUGAACUACAAUCCAGAAUUGGAAGGCUCACCAGUGACCCUUAUCUGGAGGCUUGGAGAUAGAAGUUUAUUUAUUUUUUUUUUUUAAGAUUUAUUUAUUUAUUUAUUUAUUUAUUAUAUGUAAGUACACUGUAGCUGUCUUCAGACACCCCAGAAGAGGGUAUCAGAUUUCGUUACGGAUGGUUGUGAGCCACCAUGUGGUUGCUGGGAUUUGAACUCGGGACCUUCGGAAGAGCAGUCGGCGCUCUUAACCACUGAGCCAUCUCGCCAGCCCCGAGAUAGAAGUUUAUGAUCUGGAUCUUGGUAUGGAGAUCUUGAGGCAUAGUGGCUAUGGAUUCCAGAAGAUUAAAUCUCCGAGUUCAAGGUCAUCCGGGAUUAAAGGUGUGGUGGAACUCUUGCUCCUUCGCCUGCUUGCUGCGUGAGACUGAGUAACUGCUAGAUCCUUGGACUUCCAUUCACAGCUAUGACUGAACCAUUGUUGGGAACUGGGCUGCAGACUAUUAUAUUCACUCCCCUGUCACAAUGAAGAUGCAGUAAUCAACACAGUGGUGUACUUGAGAGGUGGUAGACAGGGCCAAGUUCAAGGCCACCUGGGCACGGAGGGCACAGCCAGCCAAGACAACGGUACAGUCAGUAGCCCUGAGGACAACUCCGCUGACUGACUCUGUGUGGCCUUCAUGGACCUGUGCCCACCCUGGGAAGCUAACCAUCCCUAAUUUCUUCCCACUUUCUGACUCCUAAGAGGCUCAAGAGGGAGUUGGCUCCAUAUCCUGACCUGCAAAGGGAGGUAAAGGCAGCUGGGGACCUUGAAGCUCUUUGCCCUAGAACAUGAAUCACAACCAUCAGCAUCAUUAAACCUCCGUGUAAACAGCUCGCCCUUGCUCAUCCUUCCUCCUUGCCCGAGCAGCUAUCAAUGCCAGGCUGUAGAGAUGAACAAGUCUGCAAACCUUCCCACCACGUGCUCUCAGGUCAGCAACUGAAAACAAUAGCAACAUGGAGAUACUCCACACACAACACAGCAAGGUGCUCAAACUUAGGGCUGCUGAGUUUCCAGGGCUUCCAAGAAGAUUCCUCUCUCUCCCUCUCUCUCUCUCUCCCCCUCUCUUCUUCUCUCUCUUUCUCUUCUUUCUUCCUCUCUUUCCUUUCUUUUAUCUCUCCCCUCUCUCUUCCUUUUUCUCUCUCUCUUCUUCCCUCUGUUUCCCCCCUCUCCCUCUUCCUCCUGUCAUACACACACACACACACACACACACACACACACCAGUUUGCGGACCAUAAAGUAAUUAAUCCACAUAGAAUUCAUAUAAAUGUCAUUUGGAUGUCAAAGGUAAAGCCUCAUUUUACAGAUUUUUUUUCAUGAUAAGCCAUGGGCACUGGUCCAGAACCAGGUGUGGUAAGGAAGAGCCUUGUAAGUCAGAAGGGACUUCAGGGGCGACAGCUCCGAGGAACCAGGGAGAAAGUGAAAGUCACUCUGAAGGCUGGUGAAGGACACAGAGAGGCCACUGCAGCUGAGCCAUCGUGGCAGGCCAAGGGUGGGCACAGGUGUGUCACACAGAGAGCAAGAAUGGAAGCUAAGGAGGCUGGCAUGACCUGGGUUUGAAUCCCAACCUCCCCAGCAUCAACUGUAUCGGUGUUGGACGAGUAACCAUGUAAGCUUUGGCUCUCUCACCUUUAACUUAGCUACUAAUAGAAUCCGCCCUGUCUGUGAGUUGUUAUAAGGAUCAAAUUAGAUACAGCUUAUAAAACAUCAGAUCUACACUGGCAGGUGGUUAUCACUUAGUAAACAAGCUAACCAUAACAGAGGGCAGGGCAGCCUGCUUGCAGGGCACCUGCACUGUGCGGCUCUGUCCUUCCGCAUUGCAAAGCCUGGCUGGCUCAGACUCUGUCCCUCUUCACCGUCCCCUCUUCUAAAUCAGCAGAGACAUUUGAGAUUCAUGAUCAGAAACCUUCUGCAGCCUCUCCUUACUGAGAGUUCCACAAGCAAAGUCCUCCCUCUCUCCCAAAGCUGGCAGAGUGAAUGACUUGAACAACCUGGUCAUAGGUCUACCCAUAGGCCUCAAGUGCCUCAUGACCUAAGAAAAGUUCAGGAUGCCUGUGUCCUCUGGGCUAGUUUCCCCCUGGGGUCAGUGGUUGGGCAGAACUAUCAUCAAAGAUCUGUGAGUCAGCACGGAGCCGUGGGUAGGGGUGAAGUGCUGGUGGUCUCUGUUUCACCCUCACGACUCAAGAGGAUUGGGUCUGCUAGACUGACUGCACAGCCCCUGCUGUGCCCUGGUGUUGGUUCAAGGAGGAGAGAUACCCUUGGAGGGUGUGGCAGGGCCGGGCCUCGUGGGAUGUCCCAGGGAACUUGCACCACGUUAUUGGAACCCAGUGUUUAAUCAUAGGGGAGUCUGAGCAAUUCCACUUGCUUGAGUCAGCAUCCUGACAUGGGAGCCAAGUUCCCAUGAGAGCUCUGAAGAGGCCCUCAGUUCCUCUCUGUGGACUAUUUCCAGGGAUACCUCUCAACUUACUUUGUAAUGAUAAUGAUUAUAUAUUUUAUAUGUGUGUAUAGUUCACAAACCAUGAGAUCACGUAGCUACAAUAUGCUGUCAACUGUAAAAAGUUCUGAACAUUU